UCCGGCUUAUCACCGGCAGUUUUCUCAGAGUGCCCAGCUUAACCUGGUAGCAACAGAGAAUGAGGGUUGCGCUCGUUGCGGGACUUAACCCAACAUCUCACGACACGAGCUGACGACAGCCAUGCAGCACCUGUGCACCUCCCACCCGAAGUGAAGGAAACCUUUUCUGGCUUCCAUAGAGGGCAUGUCAAGUCUUGGUAAGGUUCUUCGUGUUGCCUCGAAUUAAACCACAUGUUCCACCGCUUGUGCGGGUCCCCGUCAAUUCCUUUGAGUUUUAAUCUUGCGACCGUACUCCCCAGGCGGGAUGCUUAACGCGUUAGCUACGCCACUGAAACCGAAGGUCCCAACGGCUAGCAUCCAUCGUUUACGGCGUGGACUAC
rnacentral:misc_RNA from 1 species